GUAGCAAUUAUUGCCCCUCAUUUUUUUAAUUGUCUUUUAAUGUGAUUUGAGUAAUGUGAUUUUUUUAAAUGUUAAAUAAAUCGUUAAAUAAUUGUUUCUACUGAACCACAGAUUUGCUUCCAUGAAGAUUAAUGGAAUCUCGUAAGUUUAUAGUGAAAUAUUAGUCUAAAAGUGUAUUGUAAAGAUGUGGUACUGUUGUUUGACCCUUUCUAUGGCUAUCAGUAACUAUUAAUACUGCAAUGAAAAUCAGUGUAUCAUGUUUCAUUUUGGAAUGAAAUUCGACAUCAAUUAUCUUCAUUACAAGUACAUUGUGAUAAUAUACAUAUGGAAUUCUUAGAUUUCUUGGAAAAAGGUGAAUGAAUGAAUGGCAAGAAGAAAGUCAUAAACUGCUCUAGCUAUUAUCAGCUUCAGGUCCGCCAAUAACUCGGAGCCUCAUGACUCGUCUGAAGUUCUCUACCAGAUGAACCAUCUUGGAAAAUGUUUUGAAAAAUUGAUCAGCCAAAUCGCUUAAAUCCUUGGAGGCCAAGUAAUGGAUAACUUCACCUAUUCAAAAAGGAAAAACAAAACCAAUGAAUUAUCAUCUGUGAAAAUCUCCAUGUGAUGUUCAAAUAUUACGAAAGAUUAAUAGAUGAGUUUGUAUUGCAGAAAUAAUAAGCUUGGUUACCUUGAUCGGAUGUCAAAUAUCGUAAGAGUGAAGAAAGAUUAAAUACCAGUUGGCUAUGGAAAUUAACCCAAAGAUUAAUGACGGAAAGAUGAACCUUGGAUUUGAUAUUCUUACUACCUAAAGAAUCAACAAGAAUAGAACAAGGACAAUAUUCUGACUCGAAAGGUCCAAUUUCUAUCCCUAGUCUUUCUUACCCAAAGCGUAUAAUUUUCUGCGAUUAUCGACGUCACACAAAAUAAGCUUGAUAAUCCAAUAUGAUGAUAUAAAAUAACUACGAAACAAUCUUGGCAGAGUCUUAACAUCAUUACUUGGGAAAUAAUUUAAUCUUAUUAUCAAUUUGUUAUCAAAUCUAUCAAUGAUGAUCUUGACUUUUGACUAAUUGUUUUGGCUAAAGUAACACCAAGGACGAAUUCGAGUAAUCUUGACAUCUAAACUUUUACUGCUAUACUCACGUUGCAUUACAAUGUAUCAACCUAGGAAUAGCGAUUUUCCUUGGUACAACAUUGGUAGCAUUAUUCAUCACUUUCACGAAAUGAUAUCGAAUCAAAUUAGAUCUAGAAGAAUAAGUCAGAUAUACCCAAUAGUCGGAUCACAGGAACUUGGACAUUCCCUAAACUAUUUUGAGCAGCUUUGAUAACUUCUUUCCGGGUACCUUCAUUGCUCCAGAAAUACUUGACGAUUUGGUAGUGGCAAUCAAGUCUUCCUCUUACCUCGACCAUUGCUGUUUUAAUCAGUCCAUACACAUGAGAGGAAACUUUGUCGAGACAAGCAAAAAAUCUUUCGAUUUCUUGAAGAUUGGACUCAACUUCAAUGAUAAUUCUGUCCAUGGCGAGAAGUACUUUUGAAAAGGUUUCAGUUGUAAUCCAAGAUGAUUUACUACUAAA